CAACCCUCAAGCACUGCUUGGUGUUGGGGCACUGCUUCUAACGAAGCAGGCCCUGAAAUCUAGUGGCGAGCUCGCCAGGACCCCGAGCGCAGUAGUUAAACCCUCGCUCUGGAAGGCCCUGGCGGUGCCCUGCCGUUAAACCCCCAACUUCUGAAA
rnacentral:misc_RNA from 1 species